UUUUACAUUUUUUCCUAUAAAUAGCUGCUACUGGCUGGAGAGCAAUCUAACAUCCCACACGAUUCUCUUCUUCUCUCUUUCAUUAUCAUUAUCAUUAUCAUCAUCCCCUUCCCUUUCUUAUACUCUCUUUUUUCUUUCAGGCUGAGGUAGAACAAGAGCCUGAGAAGGAGGCACUGGUUUUCUAAGGUUGUUGACAGAAGAUAGAGAGCACUGAUGAUGAUAUGCAUAUAUAUAUUAUACUAUAUAUAUAUAUAUAUAGAGAGAGAGAGAGAGAGAGAGAGAGAGAGAGAGAAGGAACUGAUCAAUUGUGCAUCUCACUCCUUUGUGCUCUCUAUACUUCUGUCAUCACCUUCAGCCUCCAUUUCUCAUUCCUCCUCUCUCUACACCAACUGUUGGUAUAUAUAUAUAUAUACACCUCCUUUUAUCAACCACCAAGUUCAUAUAUAAUUUGAAGUUCUUCCUGGAAUCUAACUAGCCACUUUUCUCUACUGAUUGCAGAUGUUACAAUUACACAAUACAAGGUUUUGGCCGCAUCAAUGGAUAGUGAUUCUAGUGAUGGCAUCAACUGUAUUAUUUAUCUUUAAUUUCUUGCAAUAUCAUAAAAUGAUGAAAUGAAUAUAGAUAUCUAGGCCAACAUACGAUUGCUGUAUUAAUUAACCUUUAUGUUUUUGCAGUUAGACGCGUGUGGCUGUUGGACACUAGGAAUUAUCUGUCUGUUGAUGGCAUGAGAGAGUAAGAAUGAGAAACUGAUAAAGGAUUUAGCUUUUUUUGUAAUUUUCUACACCCUUUUGUUCUUUUUCCUGCUGAUUUCCUUCAGUGUGCUAGUGUGUAUAAACAUUUGAUUUGGGCAUAGUAGAUCUGUAUUUUGUGCUUCAAAGAAAAAUCUGACUUCCUUUCAACAAGAAGAAUGUAGUACAAGUUGCUUUAUGGAAGAAGGACCACAUGCAAUUGGAAUUUGUGGCAAGGGAUUGCGAAGAAAAUGUAUGGGGUCCAAUUCAAAACUGACUAUGACAUAUUGUAGGGCACAUACAUACUUGAUUUCUCAGGAUUCUUCCAGUCAGUACCCCACACUCUUGUCAAUGAUUUCCAAGGUGAUCUAGCCAAUAACAAAGGGUCAAGAACAAAACCAAGAUCAAAUAACUUUAUAUAUACUGUAAAUAAUAUCUGGUUAUGGUGAAUGAACAAAAGGUUAAAACUAAAAAGAUAAAAAGGAGAAAGGCACUUUUGACUUGGAUGAAGAUGACCCCACUAUUACUAUUCAUGUGACGUAUUUGAAGUGAGAAAGUGAUAGGAAAUUGAUGUAUAGUAGUAGUAUUAGUGAGAAAGUGGUAUUGCAAUCCAAGAUAGAACCCUUAUAUCUGAUAAACAAUGUGAAGAAGAUACAGUGAAAUAUCACUUGUCUUGCCUGCAAUGCAAGAAACAUGAAAUUAAUGAAAGUAUUCUUCCAUUUUCUAGACCUACUGCUUUAAAGCCAUAGCUCAUUACGAAGGAAAUUUGUUAUUUUCAGAUGACAGAGACCCUUUCCAAAUUUGUAGAUGCAUACUCAUUCUGAUGUGACUUACAUGCUCAUUACUAUUUAAAGACCACUUUCAUAUCAUCAAAUAUAAAACCAGUAAUUCAAAACCAUAAUUAUAACUAAUAAUAAUUUUCUUCUUCUUCAUUGAUUCUAUACAAGUUAAUUACGUGCAUAUAUAGUUUUCACCAGUUUUUCCUCCUGUCAUGCAUAUAAACCAGUAUUUUUGAAAUCAAAAGCUACUGCCAAAACAUACUAAGAUUGCAUAGUUCAACAGAAAUCAAAGGGG
rnacentral:lncRNA from 1 species